ACUUUGGGGGAGGCAGCAGUGGGGAAUAUCGCACAAUGGGCGAAAGCCUGAUGGAGCGACGGCGUUUGAGAGAAGAAGUAUUUCGGUAAGUAAAAUUAUAUCAGCAGGGAAGAAAAAUGACGGUACCCAAGGAUUAAGAACCCGGCUAAAUUUGUCCCCCCCCCCGCGGUAAUACGUAGGGGGCAAGCGUUUUUUGGAUUUUUUGGGUGGUAAAAGGGGGUAGGCGGCUUUUCAAUUUUGAUGGGAAAACCCCGGGCUCAACCCCGGGAAUGCAUUGGAAAAUGCUUAGCUAGAGUGUCGGAGAGGUAAGGGGAAUUUCUAGGGUAGCGGGGAAAAGGGUAGAUAUUGGGAGGAACACCAGUGGGGAAGGGGACUUCCUGGGCGAUAACUGACGCUGAGGCUCGAAAACGUGGGGAGCAAACAGGAUUAGAUACCCUGGUAGUCCCCCCCGUAAACGAUGAAUACUAGGUGUGGGGGGGCAAAGCCAUUCGGUGCCGCAGCUAACGCA
rnacentral:rRNA from 1 species